CCUACGGUGGUCAGCAGUGGGGAAUAUUGGGCAAUGGACGCAAGCCUGACCCAGCAAUGCCGCGUGAAGGACGCAGGCCCUCGGGUUGUAAACUUCUUUUAUCAAGUACGAAACACAUGACGGUACUUGAUGAAUAAGCCACGGCUAACUACGUACCAGCCGCCGCGGUAAUACGUAGGUGGCAAGCGUUAUCCGGAUGAACGGGGGGUAAGGGGCGUGUAGGCGGGACUGCAAGUCAGAUGUGAAAACCAUGGGAUCAACACAUGGCCUGCAUUUGAAACUGUAGUUCUUGAGUGUUGGAGAGGCAGGAGGAAUUCCGUGUGUAGCGGUGAAAUGCGUAGAUAUACGGAGGAACACCAGUGGCGAAGGUGGCCUGCUGGACAAUAACUGACGCUGAGGCGCGAAAGCGUGGGGAGCAAACAGGAUUAGAUACCCCAGUAGUC
rnacentral:rRNA from 1 species